UACGUAGGUGGUAAGCGUUGUCCGGAAUUACUGGGCGUAAAGGGUGAGUAGGCGGUAAUAUGUGUCAGAUGUAAAAGGCUAUGGCUUAACCAUAGUUGGCAUUUGAAACUGUAUUACUGGAGUACCGGAGAGGAGGGUGGAAUUCCUGGUGUAGCGGUGAAAUGCGUAGAUAUCAGGAGGAACACCGGUGGCGAAGGCGGCUAUCUGGACCAACACUGACACUGAGGCACGAAAGCGUGGGUAGCAAACA
rnacentral:rRNA from 1 species